UGGAGCAUGUGGUUUAAUUCGAUGCAACGCGAAGAACCUUACCUACUCUUGACAUCCAGAGAAUUUGCUAGAGAUAGCUUAGUGCCUUCGGGAACUCUGAGACAGGUGCUGCAUGGCUGUCGUCAGCUCGUGUUGUGAAAUGUUGGGUUAAGUCCCGCAACGAGCGCAACCCUUAUUCUUUGUUGCCAGCGAGUAAUGUCGGGAACUCAAAGGAGACUGCCGGUGAUAAACCGGAGGAAGGUGGGAUGACGUCAAGUCAUCAUGGCCCUUACGAGUAGGGCUACACACGUGCUACAAUGGCAUAUACAAAGAGAAGCGAACUCGCGAGAGCAAGCGGACCUCAUAAAGUAUGUCGUAGUCCGGAUUGGAGUCUGCAACUCGACUCCAUGAAGUCGGAAUCGCUAGUAAUCGUAGAUCAGAAUGCCGCGGUAAAUACGUUCCCGGGCCUU
rnacentral:rRNA from 1 species